GAUGAACGCUGGCGGCGUGCCUAAUACAUGCAAGUCGAGCGAACAGACGAGGAGCUUGCUCCCUUGACGUUAGCGGCGGACGGGUGAGUAACACGUGGAUAACCUACCUAUAAGACUGGGAUAACUUCGGGAAACCGGAGCUAAUACCGGAUAAUAUAUUGUACCGCAUGGUUCAAUAGUGAAUGACGGUUUUGCUGUCACUUAUAGAUGGAUCCGCGCCGCAUUAGCUAGUUGGUAAGGUAACGGCUUACCAAGGCAACGAUGCGUAGCCGACCUGAGAGGGUGAUCGGCCACACUGGAACUGAGACACGGUCCAGACUCCUACGGGAGGCAGCAGUAGGGAAUCUUGCGCAAUGGGCGAAAGCCUGACGGAGCAACGCCGCGUGAGUGAUGAAGGUCUUCGGGUCGUAAAGCUCUGUUGUUAGGGAAGAACAAAUGUGUAAGUAACUAUGCACGUCUUGACGGUACCUAAUCAGAAAGCCACGGCUAACUACGUG
rnacentral:rRNA from 1 species